CAGUAGGGAGGAAGGUAGUGUAGUUAACACCUGCAUUAUUUGACGUUACCUACAGAAGAAGCACCGGCUAACUCCGUGCCAGCAGCCGCGGUAAUACGGAGGGUGCGAGCGUUAAUCGGAAUUACUGGGCGUAAAGCGCAUGCAGGCGGCCUGUUAAGUCAGAUGUGAAAGCCCGGGGCGUUAACCUCGGAAUUGCAUUUGAAACUAGGCAGGCUAGAGUCUUGUAGAGGGGGGUAGGAAUUUCAGGUGUAGCGGUGAAAUGCGUAGAGAUCUGAAGGAAUACCAGUGGCGAAGGCGGCCCCCUCGGACAAAGACUGACGCUCAGAUGCGAAAGCGUGGGGAGCAAACAGGAUUAGAUACCCUGGUAG
rnacentral:rRNA from 1 species